UUCUCAUUCCGAAUCUCCGAUCCAUCCCUAAAAACAACUGACGAGAGAUCGAUGAUGAUGAAGAUGCCUUGGAGGAGGAAGAGCAGGAGCUUCCAUCUUCAGCUACAAGGGGCAAUUGGUACCAUUCAAUCUCCAUUCCUAUUCUUAUUUACCAAUUAUUGCCAUUCUUCUACUUCCACACUUGAAGAUGCACGCUUCUUGACAAAUAACUUCAAAUCUGCUUCUUUUACCUGCCUUGAUGAUGCCAUUGCUUCCUUCAAUCAUGUAAUUCAUAAGCAUCCUCUGCCUUCUAGGGUUCCAUUUAAUAGAUUCUUAUCUGCACUUGUGAAAAUGAAACAAUAUCGCACUGUCCUUUCCAUGUCCAAAACAAUUGAAUUGCUAGGAAUCUCUCACGAUGUUUAUUCUCUUAACAUCUUAAUUAAUUGCUUCUGCCGUUUACAUCUCGUGGAUUUUGGCUUCUCUGUUUUCGGGAAGAUGUUCAAAUUCGGAUUGGAGCCUACCACUGUGACAUUUAAUACCUUAAUUAAUGGGCUUUGUAUGGAGAGCAAAAUCGAUAAAGCAGUGGAAUUUUUCGAUGAUAUGGUUGCACGUGGUUAUCAACCUGAUGUUCGUACUUUCAAUGUGAUAGUAAACGGAAUGUGUAAAUUUGGGAAAACAAAUGUGGCUAUUGGGCUACUAAAGGGAAUGGCUGAUAGAGGUUGUGAGCCAAAUGUUGUGACAUACAGUGCAAUCAUUGACGCCCUUUGCAAGGAUGAGCUAGUUGGUGAGGCUUUAGAGCUCUUCUCUCAAAUGAGGAAUAAGGGCAUUUCACCUGAUGUCAUCACUUACACUGGUUUAAUUCACGGCGUUUGCAAAUUAGGCCAAAAGAACCAAGCUUUGGCCUUGAUGAAUGAAAUGGUGCAGCAGAACAUAUUACCAGAUGUUUAUACCUUCAAUGUAUUGAUUGAUGCUCUUUGUAAGGAUGGAAUGGUUUCAGAGGCUCAAAAUACAUUCAAUGUAAUGAUUCAAAGAGGUGUAGAGCCUAAUGUGGUCACCUACACUUCCUUAAUUGAUGGUCUUUGCAUUUCAGACCAAUUCAAGGAAGCUUUGGCCUUGUUGAAAGUAAUGGUGGGGAGGAACAUAUCCCCUAAUGUUUUUACCUUCAAUAUAUUGAUCGAUACCCUUUGUAAGAAAGGACUGGUUUCAAAUGCAGAGAAUAUAAUCAAAAUAAUGAUUCAAAGAGGUGUGGAACCUAAUGUUGUCACUUAUAGUUCAUUGAUGGAUGGAUAUUGUCUGUGCAAGCAAAUUGAUAAGGCUAGAAAGGUAUUUGAUCUGAUGGUGACCAAUGAAAUAGCUGGCAUUUUUAGCUACACCAUUUUGAUCAAUGGAUAUUGUAAGUGCAAAAUGAUAGAUGAUGCAAAGGAAAUUUUUGAUGAAAUGUCUCAUAAAGGUUUAGUUCCUAAUGUUGUUACUUAUUCUACUCUUAUAGAGGGUAUGUUUCAAGCAGGGAGGCCCCAAACUGCAAAAGAGCUCUUUAAGGAUAUGUGCUCUCAUGGUCAACAGCCAAAUAUAGUAACCUUCUCAAUUAUGAUUGAUGGCUUGUGUAGACAGGGGAAUCUCGAUGAAGCACUCACCCUAUUGAAAGAAAUGGAGGAAAGUCAGUUGAAGCCUGAUCUUGUGACCUAUAGCAUUCUGAUCAAUGGUAUGUGCAAAGCUGGCAAGAUUAAUGAUGCCAAGGAACUGUUUUCUAGUCUUUUUGAAAAUGGUUUACAACCUGAUGUUUAUGUAUAUAGUACAAUUAUGAAAGGACUCUGCCAACAAGGAUUAAUGGAUGAAGCCUAUAAGGUAUUUAAAGACAUGGAAAAGGUAGGAUGUUUACCAAAUAAUUGUUGUUAUAAUAUCAUCAUUCAAGGGUUUCUCAAGCAUGAGGAUUUACCAAAAGCAUCAGAACUAAUCAUUGAAAUGGUUGAUAAGGGGUUCUCUGCUGAUGCUGCUACCACAGAACUGGUAGUACAUUUAUCGCUGAAUAAUGAUCUCAUUCUGAGGCUUUUAAAGGUGCGCAAUGAGGGAUCAGCAAACUAAAGUUGUUAUAUCUUGACCAUUCAAGUGUGUCUUGGAGCGCAACUUGGUACUUGCAAGGAUAUGAUUACAACUUCGCCUUUCUAACCAUAAAGGGUGCAGGAUAUACAGUCCCAGAGUACAGGUAAGAGAAUCACUAGACUUCUACACCUGUUGGUUGGAUGAAAUGUCACUAAAAUUAUAGAUAACAGAAAAUGUUAUGGGAAUUGAGGGAAAAACAAACAUCCUCUUUGUCACCUUUUUUUUUUUUUUUUUUUUUUCUAGUCAUCAAGUUGGGUAUAUAUAUAUAUAUAUAUAUAUAUAUAUAUAUAUAUAGAUCCUUAAUUUCUUUUAUUUUCCUUCAAGUCAAAUUAGUAAAAUCAUUGCAUUAGCAUCUAAUAAUAUGAAGUUCACAAUCUUUUCCAAUGAAAUCAAUUUUUUAACAUGAAAAUUUGAAUUUUAGAAAUGCUUGUCGAAGGUAUAUAUAUAUUCUUCCCUUUGAGAUUCUUUACUUUGUGCCAAGUUGAUUGGAUGUACUGUUUGAGAUGUUAGUUAAGUUAUGCAAGAAAAGUUGUUUUGGUUGUU